UACGUAGGGACCGAGCGUUGUCCGGAUUCAUUGGGCGUAAAGAGCUCGUAGGCGGCCACUCAAGUCGAAUGUGAAACCUCGAGGCUUAACCUCGAGCCUGCAUUCGAUACUGGGCGGCUAGAGUCUGGUAGGGGGAUCUGGAAUUCCUGGUGUAGCGGUGGAAUGCGCAGAUAUCAGGAGGAACACCGGUGGCGAAGGCGGGAUCCUGGGCCAGUACUGACGCUGACAGCGCGAAAGCUAGGGGAGCAAACGGG
rnacentral:rRNA from 1 species